UCCUACGGGACGCAGCAGUAGGGAAUCUUCCACAAUGGACGGAAGUCUGAUGGAGCAACGCCGCGUGAGUGAAGAAGGGUUUCGGCUCGUAAAGCUCUGUUGGUAGUGAAGAAAGAUAGAGGUAGUAACUGGCCUUUAUUUGACGGUAAUUACUUAGAAAGUCACGGCUAACUACGUGCCAGCAGCCGCGGUAAUACGUAGGUGGCAAGCGGUGUCCGGAUUUAUUGGGCGUAAAGCGAGUGCAGGCGGGUCAAUAAGUCUGAUGUGAAAACCUUCGGCUCCACCGGAGAAUUGCAUCA
rnacentral:rRNA from 1 species